rnacentral:rRNA from 1 species
UGAACGCUGGCGGUAUGCUUAACACAUGCAAGUCGAACGGAAACGAUACUAGCUUGCUAGUAGGCGUCGAGUGGCGGACGGGUGAGUAACGCGUAGGAAUCUGCCUGAUAGUGGGGGAUAGCCCGAAGAAAUUCGGAUUAAUACCGCAUAAUCUAUUCGUAGUAAAGUGGGGGACUUUCGAGCCUCACGCUAUCAGAUGAGCCUGCGUAAGAUUAGCUUGUUGGUAGGGUAAAAGCCUACCAAGGCGACGAUCUUUAGCUGGUCUGAGAGGAUGAUCAGCCACAUCGGGACUGAGACACGGCCCGAACUCCUACGGGAGGCAGCAGUGGGGAAUAUUGGACAAUGGGGGCAACCCUGAUCCAGCAAUACCGCGUGUGUGAAGAAGGCCUGAGGGUUGUAAAGCACUUUCAAUUGUGAAGAAAAGUUAGCGGUUAAUAACCGUUAGCCUUGACGUUAACUUUAGAAGAAGCACCGGCUAACUCCGUGCCAGCAGCCGCGGUAAUACGGAGGGUGCAAGCGUUAAUCGGAAUUACUGGGCGUAAAGCGUGCGUAGGCGGUUUAUUAAGUCAGAUGUGAAAGCCCCGGGGCUUAACCUGGGAACUGCAUUUGAAACUGGUCAACUAGAGUAUGGUAGAGGAAAGUGGAAUUUCUGGUGUAGCGGUGAAAUGCGUAGAUAUCAGAAGGAACAUCAAAUGGCGAAGGCAGCUUUCUGGACCAAUACUGACGCUGAGGUACGAAAGCGUGGGUAGCAAACAGGAUUAGAUACCCUGGUAGUCCACGCCGUAAACGAUGAUAACUAGCCGUUGGGGGGAUUUACCCUUUAGUGGCGAAGCUAACGCGUUAAGUUAUCCGCCUGGGGAGUACGGCCGCAAGGUUAAAACUCAAAGGAAUUGACGGGGACCCGCACAAGCGGUGGAGCAUGUGGUUUAAUUCGAUGCAACGCGAAGAACCUUACCUGGUCUUGACAUCCUGCGAACUUUCUAGAAAUAGAUUGGUGCCUUCGGGAACGCAGUGACAGGUGCUGCAUGGCUGUCGUCAGCUCGUGUCGUGAGAUGUUGGGUUAAGUCCCGUAACGAGCGCAACCCCUAUCCUUAUUUGCCAGCACAUCAUGGUGGGAACUAUAAGGAGACUGCCGGUGAUAAACCGGAGGAAGGCGGGGACGACGUCAAGUCAUCAUGGCCCUUACGACCAGGGCUACACACGUGCUACAAUGGGAAGGACAAAGAGCCGCGAAGCCGCGAGGUGUAGCUAAUCUCAUAAACCUUUUCGUAGUCCGGAUUGGAGUCUGCAACUCGACUCCAUGAAGUCGGAAUCGCUAGUAAUCGUAGAUCAGAAUGCUACGGUGAAUACGUUCCCGGGUCUUGUACACACCGCCCGU